rnacentral:lncRNA from 10 species
AGCCCUGAGGAAUUCCGGGAGUGGAGCCGACUUGGAAACUCAAGGCCAAUCUCAGGUUGAGACAUGGUCCACCAGAUGACCGGCUGGCCUCCUAAUUGGGCUUCCUGCAUUCCUGCCUGUGCUCGGAGCUCCCUUCUCCACUUGCCUGCUGGAGGAGGUUUACAAACAAAAUCAGAUCAUGGCACUCCCCUGGGGCCCUGCAUCCUGUGGCCAGCAGGUCUUGGAAACGCCCCUGUACCCCAGAAACUUCCUGAUCAGUCCCUGGUCAGUGUAUAUCAUGCUUCCUGUGACAUGACAUCAACUUUUCAGUGACUUCCACUGGUUUUGGCCCAGCUCGAAGAGCCUGACACCUCUGCAGGGAAUUCUACCAGGUAUUCAAAGAGGAGCUCAGGAGGGGGAAUUGCACUGAAGAUUUGUCCCAUCGUGAAGCAAGAGCACUGGAACUUACACUCCACCAUCAGGCCCUGUCACAGGAGAACAAAGAAGGAAGGCAGAGGAGAUCAUGCUCCGGCCAGCAGGGAAUCUCCAUUUUUUUCAGCCUCAUACCUUGGAAAGUACAAAGGAGUGAGAGCUGGGACUACCAGCCAGAGGGUUCAUGGAGGUAGUGGGAGGGGAAGAUGGGUUCUGCAUGGAGCCACUCCAGGGACUUUUCUUCUGUCUCACAGCCUGACAAUCACCUCUAGCUGUUCUCAGUCCCAUUCUCAUCAAUGACCUCGUCUCCUGAUUUUGUACAAUAUCUAGGUGACCUUCUCUUCUUUCCAUCUUCAAACGCUUGAUCAUUGAUGCUCCCUUUUCUCUUCUCUCUCCUCCUGGGAAAAGAGAAGGACCAACAUCCCCCUUUCCCUUCCUCCUGUGCUGUCCCGACCCCUCUGAGACCUGGCUCUAGCAGUAAGUCCCUCUCUCUUCUGCAGCACCAGCCUCUGCCCAUCCCUGCCCUCUGCACACAAAGCUCUCACAUUGUCUGCACUUUAAGAACUUUUGUGGCAAACCCUGGCAAAUCCUGCCACUUGUUUCCACUCUUCUCAAAUGGCUUUGAGGUCAUCAUUGACCUAUCCCAUUUGACCCUGUCCUGUAUCUGAUGUUGUACCCUUUCUCCUUGAUCCCACUCUGGCAACUCUCCCACUCCCCUUUCUUGGAUCAACUGUCUUGCUCCUCAGUCUUGAUCAAUGCCUCCUUCUCUCUCUUUAGCCUUGGCCCUUUUUGGCCAGGGAAAUAAAUGUGAAAUACAUAAAGCUUCAUUUUAUCUUAUGAUUAUAGCUAUGUUGAUGUUACCCAAGACCUAAAAGUCACACUCUCUAAUUACACUUCCCUCCUGUGUUCUGGGUCCUCUUGGACCAGUCCUUACUCUGGCUCCCCUCCUGGAUGUCUCCCAGACUUCUAAUUAGAAUUACUGUUUCCUAUAUCAAGCUAAUUAUCUUUCCCACCAACCUCCUCCAUCCUUGGGUGAAAGCAUCACUUGGUUGCAAAAGUCAGAAAUCUGGGUUUCAUUCUUGCGGUAGGUAGAAUAAUGCCCCCAGGCCCCAGGUUUUGACAUCCGAAUCCCUGGGACUUUGCAGAUGUGAUUCAGUUUAGGAUUUUGAGAUGGGGAGAUUAUCUGGGAGAGCCUGAUGUCAUCAUAAGGUUCUUAUAAGAGGGAGGCAGGAGGGUUAGAGUGAGUAGUAAGAGAUGCAACAGUGGAAGCAAGAGGUUGGGGUGAUGUGGCCACAAGCCCAGGAGUGCUGACAGACAUCAGAAGCUGGAAGGGACAAGGAAUGGUUUCUCCUCUGGAGCCUCCAGAAAGAACCAGCCCUGCUGACACCUUGAUUUUAGCCUUGGAAGACUCAUUUUGGACUUCUGACCUUGAACGUUGUAAGAGAAUAAAUUUACAUAUUUUAAACUGGUA